rnacentral:lncRNA from 1 species
CCCGGACUCAGAAGGUUCAAUCAACAUACAACAACACAAGACAUACUCUUCACCCAUAUCUAUUCAACCAUCCUAUACUGGCUAUUAGACAUAAGUACAUACUGGUGUUAGGCUAUAUGCAUACAGGAAUGAAUGUAAAGUACACAGUCUAUAUCAAAGUCUCAUCAGUAAAACCAUCUCCACCAUAACUUUCAUCAUUAUGAUCAUUAUUAGAGUAAUCAACCUCCAUCCUUAUCGGGUAUCAAUAUAUUAUCACAGUAUUAUCUGGCCUAGUUGAGUAUCAAUAUCAUCAUCACAAUAUCCUCUGAACAUACUGGGUAUCAAUACCAUCACAGUAUCCUCCCGCCUUGCAGGUAUUAAUACAUCAUCAUAGUAUUCUCUGACCUUGCUGCAUAUCAAUUUCAUCAUAACAAUAUCCUCCGUCCUUGCCAAGUAUCAAUAUCAUCAUUGUAUCCUCCGUCCUUGCUGGGUAUCAAUAUCAUUAUCACAAUAUCCUUCGGCAUUGUCGGUAUCAAUAUCAUCAGAGUAUCCUUGACCUUGUCGGGUAUUAAUAUCAUUAUCACAAUAUCCUUUGUCCUUUCCGGGUAUCAAUAUAUCAUAAACAUCAAUACACAUAUAUUUAUAGACGUAUAAUAGGUUCACGGGAUCAAGACGUCGCAAAAGAGGGGUAAAUCUAAUAGACUAUUAGUAUACUCAUAAUCAUAAUCGUAUCAUCAUAAAAAUAUCUAACUUGACAUUACUUACCAACUAUUCGUUAUUAACUAACCAACGCUUAUGAUCAUUAAAC